GGAGACGUAUCGAAGCGGUCAUAACGAGGCGCACUCGAAAUGCGUUUGCCCCUUUCGGGCACGCGGGUUCGAAUCCCGCCGUCUCCGCUA
rnacentral:tRNA from 1 species